CUUCUACAGCAGGCCGUACCUCUGCAUCCACCACCACCUUUGUGCCAAGGCCACAGUCUUCCCAGGUGGCCCCCAGCCAAUGAGCGUGCUGUCAGACCUACAUUACUAUCGGAAGGCUCUCCUACUCCUGCCACCUGGUCCUUUACCAUUUGUGUCCCCAGACAUUGCCAAAUGUCCACUGAGAGACCACAUCCCCUGGAUGAGGACCACGAGUGUAAGGUACAGAUGAGCACCCUGUCUUUUGCCUUCACUCUGGUGAAUUUCUUCCAACAAACAUUUAUUGAUAAUUUAUGUCAAGCCCCAGAGGAAGAGAAAUUAAAGAAGCUUACACACUAGCAGAGAAGUACAAGCUCCUCUAGGAAAGGAGACACACAAGAGCAUCUGGUAGCAUGUUGCACCCAAGAAGGGGUCUCAUUCUAGUCAGUCUGCUUGUGGGAGGACAGGCCACUGAAGGAUUCAUCUGGAAGCUCUCUCAUGAAUCUUGAUUGUGUCAGACCAGUAGCCAGUAUUCUUUUGAAGAGCAGACCUUGACAGCUGAAUUUCAGGCUGCACGUGAGACCUAACUAGCUUAAUCAUCGAACCGUAUUAUAAACUAAAGGACAGAGAAGAUUCCAGGUACCAUGCAAAGCAAAUGAAUUCUGCCAGUCCACUCCAAUCUCAAUGGAUUAUGGGAAGAAGAAAUUGGAAGUAGAGAAAGAGGUCCUGGAACAAGAAGAUAUUUUAGAUAAAUCAAGGGGAAAUCUGGGGGCAGAGAAGCUUUUAUUUCACUUCCCAUUUGUGACUGCAGAAGCACACACAAAAAAAACAAAAACAAACAAAAAACAAAAAACAAAAAAAAAACCACACACUGCCACUUUGACCUGCAGAAUCAGAGACCACAUGGAGACCUACCACUCCUGUGCUAAGGAGGCUUCUGCUAAGGUCCAAGAUGGCUGUUCCAGCCCUAGUCAUCAUAUCUGCAUUCCAGCCAGUGGGAAGAAAAAUUGAGGAGGGGCAUUGUGCACCCCUAAGGAUAUACUCAAAUUAAGCACACCAUGAGUUUCCUUGACUCCAGAAGCCUUGCAUUUAUCAUUACAUCCACCUGAAAUGCUUCUAUCUCCUCCUUCCCACCCCCAACAGUGACUCAAAAAUUCCAGCAGGAGCACAUAACUACAAGCAGCUGAGAGCUUUCCCUUGCUCCAUUGGUGACUAGAAGGCUGGAAGUGCUAAGGACUUAAGACUGCUGGGCUCAGCCCAGCAUCAUUGAUGGAUGAGAGAGAGUCAAGAUGCUGGCUUUCUUGCUCCUUCGUCUUCGGACUUCUGUUUCCUGUUGCCACCUUGCAGAGGGCUUCCAGGAUUAAGUACCAAGAAUAGAAGAUUGACCUGAGAAAAACAGCUCAAUGCAUCGAAGUAGGAAGAAAUGUUAGCCUUAUGAGCUUCUAGCCUUCUCAACUUGAGCACCCAUCCUGAACGGAUCAACCACGUUGAAUUGUCUAGCUCACAUCAUGAGGACCAUCAUAGAUCUAAAGCUAUUGGGCUCUCCCUGAAAGAUCUAGACUGCGUAAGCCUCCCACUCUGGGACUUUGGCCUAACCCUAAUGGAAACAAGAUUAGAAGUUUGAUUUAGAAAAGUGAACUGAUGUGGUGUGUCUUGCAUGCAUUGGUGGUGGUCAUGAGUUCACACUGGCCGUAUUUGCAUGGUUCCAGAGAUACCACUUCUGUUUUAGGAACUUCUUUGGAAAAAGAUGAGCAUUUUUUUUUUUAAACGUUAGCAAGUAUAUUUACUGGGUAUUUAAGCAAUAUCUCAGGGACCAUGAUGGCAUAGUCCCUGUGGUGAUGAAUUUCUAACAUGGCAAUUUAUUACUUUUGAUUAAUAUACAGUUAUUAUU